GGCCCGGCAGUGUCCAGGAUGUUUCCACUGGGAAAGCUGCAAAAGAAUGGAAGGAGGGUCUCGGCUAACACUGUUUAGAUGAGGCCGGACGAUCAGCUUGUCUUCUAUUCAGAGUGAUGCACAGAACUUAUUGAUGCAGACUCUGAGUAGAGUGCUCCCGAGGAUCCACGAUGCAGGUGAGGCGACACUAAUCGGCGUACGGACACGGAGGACGAGGAGUUCAGAUCCCCACAGCUGCGCAGGUGGAUGCCCUCCGGGGCGCGGCCGCUGUGCCUGCGGUUGUGUCUGCUGUCGCUGUGGGAGUGAUGAGCAGGACUUGCUCGAGACUAGAACUCAUCGACACCAAGACAAGACAGAGACUUUUGGAAGUUGAGAUCCAGUCAAGACAAAGAUUAAGACAAGCCCAAACUGUGACAAGACCAAAGCCAUGAAAAUCAACCUUAAAAACCAUGAGAAGGUUGAAGAGUAUAAGAGCAUGCUCUCUUUAAUUUAACAUUUAUUUUAAAUAUAAAACACAGUCUGCAACUCAUUCAAAGUGCACCAGGAAAAUGUCAAAUUUUAACACUGAUUUU